ACCCAAUUUGACUUUCCAAGAUUAAUUCGAGAAAAGAACGAAAUGAUUUCUUCUUCCAGACAAGUGUUUGUAAUGACAAAUGACCUUCUUUGGGACAUGAAGGAAGUGUCUCAAACCAUCUAUCCACUUCCUAGCCCUUAGUUGACUUACAGUCGGCUUUCUAGGGUUUCAGAUAAAAUUCAGCUUGACUGUUGAGCUUUGAUCAACCAAUCUUUGGCCAAACCACUCCAAAAUGAUCACAUAAUCAUAUGAACUUGAUAAACCAACCCUAGGGCUUUGCUUCAAUAGGAAAUGCACUUGCUUGCUUGAUUGACUGAUUCUCCUGAUCAUCUUGACCUAGUUUUGUCCGAUGACUUGCACUUGGGCAAAAGACAAUGCAAUGCUAUGCAGUGGACUAUGUUAUGUUAAUGACCUAAUAUGAGAAUGUAUGUACAAAAGGUAGGUGCAAAUUUGAGGUGCUACAGCUGCCCCUAUUCAAUCAGCUGGGAACCCGAAUGGAUGAGAGCAACGGCUGUCAGACUUUCAGGGUAGACAGGGAUUGAAUACCAAGAACC
rnacentral:lncRNA from 1 species